GUGGGGAAUUUUGGACAAUGGGGGCAACCCUGAUCCAGCAAUGCCGCGUGCAGGAAGAAGGCCUUCGGGUUGUAAACUGCUUUUGUACGGAACGAAAAGGCUCUGGUUAAUACCUGGGGCACAUGACGGUACCGUAAGAAUAAGCACCGGCUAACUACGUGCCAGCAGCCGCGGUAAUACGUAGGGUGCAAGCGUUAAUCGGAAUUACUGGGCGUAAAGCGUGCGCAGGCGGUGCUGUAAGACAGGCGUGAAAUCCCCGGGCUCAACCUGGGAAUUGCGCUUGUGACUGCAAGGCUGGAGUGCGGCAGAGGGGGAUGGAAUUCCGCGUGUAGCAGUGAAAUGCGUAGAUAUGCGGAGGAACACCGAUGGCGAAGGCAAUCCCCUGGGCCUGCACUGACGCUCAUGCACGAAAGCGUGGGGAGCAAACAGGAUUAGAUACCCCUGUAGUCC
rnacentral:rRNA from 1 species